rnacentral:rRNA from 1 species
AUUGAACGCUGGCGGCAUGCUCAACACAUGCAAGUCGAACGGUAACAGGCCCUUCGGGGUGCUGACGAGUGGCGGACGGGUGAGUAAUGCUUAGGAAUCUGCCUAGUAGUGGGGGAUAACCCGGGGAAACUCGGGCUAAUACCGCAUACGCCCUACAGGGGAAAGCGGGGACUUUCGGCCUCGCGCUAUUAGAUGAGCCUAAGUCCGAUUAGCUAGUUGGUAGGGUAAUGGCCUACCAAGGCGACGAUCGGUAGCUGGUCUGAGAGGACGACCAG